UAGACAUAGUUUAACAAAAACGCUGGGCCGUGGCCCCAUAAAUAAAGAGAAAAACUCUUUUGUCGACC
rnacentral:tRNA from 1 species